CUGUCUCUCCUCUGUUUUGAUUCAAAACUGUUUUUUUUCCUCUCCAACACAAUAAGCUAGAAGUUCUGCUUUUGUGAAAUAUUCAAGAAUCAGUGGAUGUCCACUAUCUAGAAAAGUGAAAUGUCCUGAUUCAAUUCUUGCCAGCUGUAGACAUUGUUAAGAGAUUCUCUGAAAAAAAAAAUACAAAAGAAAACAUUGACCUGUAAUGUGUGCUCCAUUUCAACAUUAGCUGCUUUGUUCCAGUUUCUAUAGUGAAAUGGUUGAUUGGCCAGGGAAAGGAUUUUGGUAUGUGAGCUCCCCUCCCCGCUGAUUCAAAUGGCUAUUAAAGGGAGGAAGGCCUGGGUCACCUCAGGCCAGUAACCAAAACUGCUUGAGAGAGACAUUCUUCCAGCUCUGGGAGGGUUAGAAGUCGGUGAAUUUUAUCAAGCGUAUCUGGUUUUCCAGUUGACCUGCUCUGUGUUAGGUAAUGUUUUAAGAAGAAAAAGCAAACAAACAAACAAAAAAGGAUAUUUAAAGGGUGAGAAAGGAUAUUUAGAGGGUGAGAAAAUGUGAAGAUGGAUCAGAAUCGCUUUAUUAAUGGUGAAAACUGGAGCUGAUACAGGACAAGUUGUUUCUUCAAGACUGUGUGGCUGAUGAAUGGCAGAAUCUAGUUUCCAGACCAGAUUUGCGUAACAGUAGAUGCUACAAUCCCAAAUUAUAUGCCAUAUUUUUGUCUUCAUAUAUUUGUCACUGGAGACAAAACAUCUGUCUGUAUCUAUCCAUCUCCACGCAUUGUACAUUCAGGCCUAUACGCAGGUACACACAGGUAAACCCUGCCCCCACAAAGCCAUUAGUCUGAUAACAAACAUUGGGUUUGGAACACUAACCUGGCACUUACUACUGUUAUCUUGUGCUUACCUGUUUUCUCACAACUAGAUUCUGAGUCCAGGUGAUCAUGGAUGGGCUUGGACUAAUUUGCAUUUUUUGAGGGUAGAAGUGCUUGUGAUACAACUGCUGCUUUAUAUUAACACAGUAGACUUGGAAUGCACAUGAAUCUCAGUGACAAGCAAAGGGUUUUUACACAGAUCAUUAACAAAAGCAAAAUUACACUGGGACUGCAGGGUGCUCUUUGGGAAGAUAAAAACUUUGUAUUGUUGUAUCCCCUUAGCCACUAGAUGCGUCUCUCAUCCUGGAACAAAUAAUUGGAAUAAAUAUGUAGAAGUUUAUCAGAGCAUUAUUCUUCAACUUUUAAUAUAUUAAUGAGAACACGAUUAUCUUAUUGCUUAUUUUUAAAAGUCUUUAAAGUUAAAAAAUAGUCUUAGCACUUGAAAUACAAGUGGACUACAAUGUAGCAGAGCAGGCUUUUGAUCGUUUCUCACCCUCUUAGGUCCAGUACUUGCUUCACUGAAACACAUUUCAUACCUUCGUUAACAAUGAAGAAUAAAAUACCUUCAGUGUUUAGAUUCUUAAAGGCACAUUUUAUGUUUCCAAGCUGUCUGAAAGCCGUUGUUCAUGGUUAAUUAUCUAGGCCGCGUUACUCAUCUCCCUGUCUUAAUGAAGAGAGUCCAUCAGAUGUGACCUAACCUUUCUUUUCCUUAUGACUCAGCACCAUCAGGUUGACUAUUAGUUGUAACCUGUAGGGUCCCAGGGUGAUAGCCUGUGGUGUCAGCACUCAUAAGGGCCUGUACCUGUCUGCUUGAUUUCUGUCUUCAAUUCUGCCAUCUCAUGUCCUCUCACUGGUUUCUCUGGGUCUAUUUCAUGGGUACAGCUCAUUGUAUCUCUAAUUGCUUCUUUUCUCUUGGCUAAGGCUGAUCCAGGGAUUUCACGGGUACCAGACAAGUCAGCUACUUUCAGGUAAAUCUCUGAAUAUGUCUGUCAUGUCUGGUCUGUAGGCUCUGGGGUGACCUUAUUCAUCUUCAUGUAUCAAGUGUAUGAACUUGGUGUAAGUACAUUCCUCAAUAAUGCCAGUGUCUGUUGUUGGUGCUGUUAUAAUUGUUCGUUUCAAGAAAGAAGAUGUAUUUAGUUGAAUUUCUAGAGAGCUGUAUGCUGAAUCAGUGAGUCCAUUAUAAUUUACAACUACAGAGCAUCACCUAUUUUUUAAAAAAUAUUUUAUUUAUUUAUUUGAGAGGUAGAGUCACAGACGAAGAAAGGGAGAGUCAGAGAGAGAGGUCUUCCCUCUGCUGAUUCACUCCCCAAAUGGCUGCAGUGGCUGGAGCUGGGCCGAUCCAAAGCCAGGGGCCAGGAGCCAGGAGCCUCCUCCAGGUCUCCCAUGCAGGUGCAGGGACCCAAGCAUUUGAGCCAUCUUCUACUGCUUUCCCAGGGCAUAGCAGAGAGCCAGAUCAGAAAAGGAGCAGCAGAGGCAGGAACUGGUACCCAUAUGGGAUGGCGGCUCCGCAGGCAGAGGCCUAGUCCACUACAACACAGCGCCAGCCCUAUCACCUAUUUUAUUAAUUUGAAGGAAAACCAUUUUAAAAGGCAGCUUCUUGGGAAACAUUUUUAGAAAUAGUGAC